rnacentral:rRNA from 1 species
CACGUAGUUAGCCGGGGCUUCUUAGUCAGGUACCGUCUUGUCUCGUUCCUGCUGAUAGAGCUUUACAUACCGAAAUACUUCUUCACUCACGCGGCGUCGCUGCAUCAGGGUUUCCCCCAUCGUGCAAUAUUCCCCACUGCUGCCUCCCGUAGGAGUUUGGGCCGUGUCUCAGUCCCAAUGUGGCCGUCCACCCUCUCAGGCCGGCUACUGAUCGUCGCUUUGGUAGGCCGUUACCCUGCCAACUGGCUAAUCAGACGCGGGUCCAUCCCAUACCACCGGAGUUUUUCACACAGGAGCAUGCGCUCCCGUGCGCUUAUGCGGUAUUAGCACCUGUUUCCAGGUGGUACUCCCCCGGUAUCGGGGCUACGGUUACCCGACGUCCGUUACCUCCGACCCCGUCCCGCCACUAACGAUACUCUACUUUCCAAAAGUGACAACG